ACAUCGCCCUUUUUACACUACAAGAUGCCUCCUCUCCAGGCACUAGUGAGACACGGCAUUACUGCAUUGAUCCUGGGGCUCUGCCUACAACUAGUCAUUGGGCAGAAUGAACAGAACCGGAUGCCACUUAUUGUGAGCCUGGCUCCAAUACCAGAUGGUAAAUCAAUGGAACCAACUGAAGUCACAUGUAGUGUUUCAACUGAACUGAGAGAAUGCCUGCCAAUGAAAGUCAGUAUUUCAAGCAACAAACCCCUUAACUGUGAUCCUCCACCUUAUGACCAAGAAGCCUGUAUAUGUCCUGAGGAUCUUCCACGUAAAUUCUUCUUUAAUGUGUGCAGCAAAGGCAAUGUAUCUUUGACCUGCAUGGCUGUGGCAAUUAAUGAAAAAAACAUCUGUGAACCUGGAAAAGGUGUGUUUCCAAUAAAUGGCUUCUUUUAUUACCACAGGAGGCCAUACAAAGUAACAACCUAAAGUGAAAUCCUGUUCUCUCUUUCUCUGGCUGGUCACCCUAUGGCAUAUUAUCUUCGGAUUAAGUGUCUGAGGCCAGUAUAGUCUCUGAGAUGAACAUCCCACAAAUUUCUCUGCCUGGCUGGGUUAUUCAAAUCAUGUUUUCUUUGUUUGCUUCCCCCCACAAUACCUUCACUUACACACACCUUCAAUAAAGUUCAUUGCUCGCAACA
rnacentral:lncRNA from 1 species